rnacentral:rRNA from 1 species
GGAUGAACGCUGACAGAAUGCUUAACACAUGCAAGUCAACUUGAACUUCGGUUUGGGUGGCGGACGGGUGAGUAACGCGUAAAGAACUUGCCUCACAGAUAGGGACAACAUUUGGAAACGAAUGCUAAUACCUGAUAUUAUGAUUUUAGGGCAUCCUAGGAUUAUGAAAGCUAUAUGCGCUGUGAGAGAGCUUUGCGUCCCAUUAGCUAGUUGGAGAGGUAACGGCUCACCAAGGCGAUGAUGGGUAGCCGGCCUGAGAGGGUGAUCGGCCACAAGGGGACUGAGACACGGCCCUUACUCCUACGGGAGGCAGCAGUGGGGAAUAUUGGACAAUGGACCAAGAGUCUGAUCCAGCAAUUCUGUGUGCACGAUGAAGUUUUUCGGAAUGUAAAGUGCUUUCAGUUGGGAAGAAAAAAAUGACGGUACCAACAGAAGAAGUGACGGCUAAAUACGUGCCAGCAGCCGCGGUAAUACGUAUGUCACAAGCGUUAUCCGGAUUUAUUGGGCGUAAAGCGCGUCUAGGUGGUUAUAUAAGUCUGAUGUGAAAAUGCAGGGCUCAACUCUGUAUUGCGUUGGAAACUGUGUAACUAGAGUACUGGAGAGGUAAGCGGAACUACAAGUGUAGAGGUGAAAUUCGUAGAUAUUUGUAGGAAUGCCGAUGGGGAAGCCAGCUUACUGGACAGAUACUGACGCUGAAGCGCGAAAGCGUGGGUAGCAAACAGG